rnacentral:lncRNA from 1 species
AGACCUUUAGAAAAACCACUCUCUUUCCCAAUGAAAAAUGACACCAAAGCUCCUAUCUGGCAGCAGCCUACAGGACAUCACUUAUACCUUAUUAAAACCCACAAAAACCCUCUCUAGCAGCUAUUAAACAAGCUCGUAUAAGGGAUUUAUUUUUGAAAAACCAAUAAUUUCUAGAGGAUAUCACAAGGUCACAGAACGUUCAGCCCAAUGCCCUAUAAUAAAUAUUGGCUAAGUUAUUGCACAAAUGCCAUAAGGGGUACAUGGAAUCAUUUUUAUUAAAAAUGAGCCAACUGCUUCUAUCAGGCUAUCUUUCCUGGUAUUUCUAGACCUUCGGCUACCUUAUUCUUGUUCAUAACAUUCACACAAACACAUACUUAUAAUGUCAGAAGAAAAUCAGUGAAUAUUUUGCAUCUCUUAUAAAACAUUGCUAAACUUUAAUCUGUAGUGAGGUGGGAAAUGUGAGCUGAUGACCAAACAAUGACCCUAAUCCACCACAAAAUAGUGCAAACUUAAAGAAAAUAUAAAUUCCAUCUAUCACACUUAACUUGAAUGAGGUCAGGAAAAAGAAUUGGUAAAUGUUAGAAAUAUUCCCUAAAAUCAAUUGAAGCAAAGGGAUUUUGACAGAAAGUUCAAUUACAAGAAAACUCCCAAUAUCCUUGAAUUUCCAGUGAACCAUCAGUGUAAAAGUUUUUCUUUUUUAAGUGAUAUUUCAAAAGAAGCCUAUGAGGUAGCAGGAAGAACUUUGGACUUAAAAUCAGUUGAUGUAGGUUCCAGAGCUAGCUCUGCCCCUGAUUUUCUUCAUGACCCCAACCUGUUUUCACUGUGUAUUUUUAAGUCUCUAUGGGCGUCUGUUUCCCUAUCUGUGAAAUUAUGCAGUUAGAAGGAACACCUUUUAAGCCCUCUUGAAGCUGUAAACCACUAUGAAUCUCUGCCUCUUUAAUUAGAAUAGGCCUGUAAGUACCAGGCAACAGAUUCUAGCCUAGAUUCCUAACAGGAGUAUGACCCGAGAAAAUAAUCUUUAAAGGUCUAACGUGGUCUCUUAGAGAAUACUUGAUUAUUGCAACAUUCACUGGGAAACUGUAGCAGAUAGUGGAUUUGCUUUUGUUUUUGUUUGUUUGUUUGUUUUUGACAGAAUUUCGCUCUGUCAUCCAGGCUGGAGUGCAGAGGCAUGAUCACACCUCACUACAGCCUCAAACUCCUGGGUUCAAGGGAUCCUCCCGCCUCAGCCUCCUGAGUAGCUGUGACUACAGGCACUUGCCCUCAUGCCUGGCUAAUGUUUUUUAUUUUAUUCAUUGUAGAGACGGGAUUUUGCCAUGUUGCCCAGGCUGGUCUUAAACUUCUGGGCUCAAGUGAUCUUCCUUUCAAAGCACUAGGAUUAAAGGUGUGAGCCACUGUGCCCAGCCCAUUUUUUUUUUUUUAAUUAGAGAUUUUCUGAUGAAAAGAAUACACUGGGCAUUAUAUUUGUGGCCAACGUGUUCUGGACAGUGAAAUGUAAACAGGCUGAAACUUGAGGCUUCUGGGGAAGUGUCCUUAAAAGGAAGGGAGCUCCCGUAUUCCCCUCUUCUUCCUUCCUCUGUGCUGGCAUAUGAACACAAUGACUGGAAGCUGAGGAGUCAUCCUGGAUCAUGAAGCAGCCCCCGAAGUUUAGAAGAAAAACAAGCCAGAAGGAGCCUGGGUCCCUGCUCAUCUGGAAUCAGUUGCCAAAACAGCCCUUAUUGCCCAACUCCAGAUCUGAUUUACAUGAGAGCGAUAUAAAUUUUUAUCAUGUUUAAGGCACUGCUGUCCUGAGUUUUCUGUCACAUGCAGAGAGUCUUAAUCCUAAGUAAUAUACACAAGACUGUUUCCCUUUAUCAAAGAUAUCAUUAUGCAAAAUAUGCCACUAAUGACCAAACCAGCCUCUACCACAGCUAUUUCCAUGAAUCAAAGGAUUUGCCUGGAGACCCUGUUUUCAUCUCUGGCAUAUCUGCCUUCCUGCCCUCAGUCACCUCAGCUGGUAUUGGGAAUGGCAGGGCCUGCCAGGCAAGUGUUGAAAUGAUGUGACAAAGAGAAGGAAAUGAAGGAUUUUCUCAUAGGCUUUGCCCACAGAUUGCCUCAUUCUCAAGACUGCUUCCUUGCUGAGUGACUCCAGUGGGUUGGGUUUGCAAUGCAAUGGGUAGAGAUCCUUCCAGACAGCUGUCAUCUGCCUGGAAACUUCAGCUUCCUAAUACUCUUGUAAACCUCCUGGGACAGAAGCUCCAGUUCCUGCUGACACCUCACAUGAGAUGUGCCUUUACCUAGUACCACCUGCUCGGGACUGCCCAGCAGGGUAGCCUGCAAUCCCAGGGCAAAGGUGAACACCAAGCAGGCCUCCACUGAUGCACAGCGGUGGUAUUUCCCUGGGAAGUUUUACUUGUGAAUCUGGAACUUAAACUCUCAGUUCUGACUUUUGCACAACAUUGGUUCCAGUUCCUCAGUCCCAGGAAGGCCCCAGAAAGAUGGGUGCUGACUCUGUGCUCAGAACAGUGGUUUGCAAAGGGUAUUUGAUCAAGUACCCUUAGAGAAACUGAGGCAUCUUAUGAACAAUCUUCCUCGACAAAAAACACAUACGUUCAUGCAAUGCAAAACUUGGCCCACAAUUUCCUGAGGUGCCAAGCGCCCUGACACCCAUCCAUGAGUCCAGAGCCCCCAGGUUAAGAAGCCUUGCCUUUGAACUCCAGAAAAGAUUUUAAAACCUCCAAAGUCAUCUGAUUUCCUCCUUGGGAUAAAUGCCCCACUACUGCUCCCAAACAGAGAGUAGGCUGAGUCGAUUUUAGAAGCUUCAGUUGUUCAUAGGAUUUACUGUUUUUAUGACCAACAGUGAGAGAAAUGUCACUUGUCUCUUCCCCACCUCCUGCUCCAAAGGUCUUCAUCUGAAACUUAAGUCCCAACCAACUCUUCUUUCCUCCUUUAUCUCACAUUCAGCCACGUUGAACUGUUUAUUUUCAGUUUCCCAAACAUGCAGUGGUGCCUUCUUCUGCCCUCUGUCUCUGCUCAGGCAAUUUCCUACUCCUAGGACACCUCUUUGCCCAUCACUAUUUGUCAGAAUAUUACUCAUUCUUUAAGACUGUGUAAAAACAGAUUUCUCUAUAGAGCUUUUCCUGAGCCUUCCUUUGUGCACACAGCCUGAGCUUGAACAUCUGUUCCAGAACAUAUCACCAUCCAUCAUGGAUUAUUUGGGCAACCAUAUAGCAAAAUAUUUGAACCUUUGAGGUCUGAAACUAGAAUGAUUGGGUUUCAGUCCUGGCUCCAUCUCUUUCUUGCUGUGUGACCUUGUGGAUGUUUAACUUUUCUGUGCUUCAGUUCCGUCAUUGGUAAAAUGGAGACAAUAAUAGCUCCCACUUCACAGAGUUGUGUAAGGAUCAAAUGACCUGAUCCAAGUAAAAGUCUUAGCACAGUCCCUGGCACACUGAAAGCAUCUGAUAAGGAAUUAUUACUUUGACUUCAGUUACUUAUACACUUUUGCCCACACCCAUUACAGUUAAACUGUAGAGUGGAUGAGGACAGAGAGUAGAGCCCAUGUCUUAGUCACCAUUUUGUAUCUGAUAGAACCUAGCAAACAAAUUUUGCACAUAGUAAAUAAUCAGUGUAUGAUAUGUGAAUGAAAGUGAAUUAUCCAUAAAAGUUUUAUCUAAGAACUUCAGACAGUAGUGUUGCCAUCUAUAUUUUAUGCAUGGGUGAGAGGCGAUGGAACAGUAAGUUGGAUGCUCCAUUGAGAAUACAAAUCAUUCUGGGGUUUGGAAAAACCAUCCUGAUUGCAAUUCUGUGUCCCAAUCACAGAAUUUUUAUAUCAUCGUGAAGCAUAUGCCAAGAACUCCCCUCUUCUCCACUUAUAAUUGUUUCCAUUUCAAUUCAAUGACACAGACAUUUAUUUAGCAACUAUUAGAUGCCAGACACUGUGGUAAGGGGUGGGAAUCAGAGAUGUCCUUCUGAAGGUCUUGCAAAGCAACUUCCAUCUGACAUCAAACUUCAAGUUCAGCACCCAGGAUGUAUACACACUCUUAUAUUCCUUGAGCCUGAAGCCCAGUCCCAGAUAACAACUGGUCUGCAGGAUUUCCCUGCCAUGUGACAAGAGAUGCAUACUUACGUCAAAUGGCAGAAAAGUGGCUGGGCGCAGUGGCUCACACCUGUAAUCCCAGCAUUUUGGGAGGCUGAGGCAGGGGGAUCACUUGAGGCCAGGAGUUUGAGACCAACCAGGUCAACAUGGUGAAACCCUGUCUCUACUAAAAGUACAAAAAGUAGCCAGGUGUGGUGGUGUGCACCUGCAAUCCCAGCUACUCAGAAGGCUGAGGCACAAGAAUCGCUUGAAUCCAGGAGGCGGAGGUUGCAGUGAGCCAAGAUUGUGCCACUGCACUCCAGCCUAGGUGAUGGAGCAAGACUCCAUUAAAAAAAAAGAAGAAGAACAAUUAGAAAAUAAUUAUACUAAUAUGUGUAGAAAAUUUACUAGACUGCUUCUGACCACCCAGACCACUGAGUUGACAUAAACAGGCCCCUUACUACACAGAAAUCCUGAACAAAAUAUAGAAAAAAUAUUUUCCACAUAACCAAGUUCAAUCAGAAAAAAAGAAAUUUCCAGUGCCGGGAAUAGCAUGAAAUCAAGUCAGAGGAAUAAACAUGAGCUGAUAACAGGAGG